CCUACGGGAGGCAGCAGUGAGGAAUAUUGGUCAAUGGACGCAAGCCUGAACCAGCCAAGUCGCGUGAGGGAAGACGGUCCUAUGGAUUGUAAACUGCUUUUGUCGGGGAGCAAACGACGCCACGCGUGUCUUUCCGAGGUUACCUGCAGAAAAAGCAUCGGCUAACUCCGUGCCAGCAGCGCGGGUAAUACGGAGGCUGCGAGCGUUAUCGGGAUUUCUUGGGUUUAAGGGUUGCGCAGGCGGAAGAUCAAGUCAGCGGUAAAAGUGAGAGGCUCAACCUCGUCGAGCCAGUGAAACUGGUUGUCUUGGGUGGGCGAGAAGGAGGCGGAAUGCGUGGUGUAGCGGUGAAAUGCAUAGAGAUCACACAGAACACCGAUUGCGAAGGCAGCAUACCGGCGCUCAACUGACGCUCAUGCACGAAAGUGUGGGUAGCGAACAGGAUUAGAUACCCUUGUAGUC
rnacentral:rRNA from 1 species